rnacentral:lncRNA from 1 species
CUUAGACGUUCUGAUGUUCGAAUUUUGAUAAGGUUGUAGAUCCUGCCAAUACGGAAGUUCAGCCAAUGUUGUAGCACGACAAGUUGAUGCCCUCGUUACGUCGUGCGGUUCGGGUUAGUUUCACCGAGAUGAGGAAAAGCUAAUAUAAAAGCUGUACAAAAAACGAAAGCAAAUCUCAGAGGAGCAGGCAAAAUGCAUGGACAUAAUUUAAGUUGCUUCUGUAAAAUCAACAAAACAAACAAAAAAUAUUAUAAAAAUUGAAUUUAAUUUUUAAAAACAACAACAAACAAACCAAAAAUGAAAAAAAAAUAAAUUUUCGUUUUUUUUCAGUUUUAAGAAAAAUAAACACUCAGGAAAUUAAUAUUAUCAUCUCUCUCUCUCUCUCUCUUUUUGUGCUUAAGUAGAAAGCAUGUAUGGCGAGCACUGCGAAAGUAACAUAAGAUAUUUUGCGUAAUCAAAUUAAGUUGGGCGUCCAUAGCCUAGUGGUUAUGGCGUCUGUUGAUCAUCAAUGACCCUAGAUGAGGCUUAGAGGGAUUGAAGCAAUGUGCAUGGAAACAUGGAACAUGGAACCUGAACUUGGGGCGCGAGUCUACGGUCGAUGAUCAACUUUUGCCAAAUUAACAACUUUUGAGAAUAAAAAUUAAUAAAACAAAACAAAAGGCAGUGCAUAAAAUUAAGCAACGUAACGUAACGUAAUAAUGUCAUUAAUAAUUAAACUAAUAACACGUUCUGGUAAAAGAUAGCAAAUGAUAUCUUUCCAGGUGAUCUGCUAUGUCAACGUUCAAAUCUUGACAGAUGCCAAAAAAUAUUUUCAGCUUAAAGUUUCGUUUUAAGUCCAUUUUUAGGUUUUUUAUGCACUUGGGAUUGUGUAGAUAUGCGUUUUAGAAUUUUCCUUGGUUGCAUACUGAAUUUAAUCGAGGGUUGCAACUUGAAAGUAACAUGCUAUUCUCCUUCUCCAACUCAAAUUUUUUACCUUAAGCUGCAGUGACUUCCGUAUGUGAGAUGCGUGAUGUUGACAACUUGUUAUUAUGGUGUGCCAUUGUACGAACGUUUAGUAGAUAUUGUAUUACUGAUAGUCCGAGUUCCGGCUUACUAUCAGAAGGUACUAGCGCGACACACAGAAAAGUGCGCCCUUUUUUGUUUACUUCUUUUUUUCGGCUUCGCGCUACUAGUACCUUCUCGUAGUAAGGGUCUCGGGUAAUUGAGGCCGAGCCCAACUGAGUACUGUUUGGAUAUUAAAAUUUUUCUUAGGUAUCUGUUAAAUUCAUUUCUGCCAUUGGAGCAGCUACAGGUAUUAAAACUAUUGAUCCGGCAGCCGAAUUUGGUGCUUUUUAUUUUUAAUUAGAAAAAUUCCUUAUAAAAAUCAGUCCCAAUAAAUUCCUCCAAUAAUCCAGCAUCAUUCUUGUGUUUUUUUUAACUAUUGCCUUCUUUAACUCCUUUGUUUGUCUUCGAAUGAGGUAAUAAUUCAGCAAACACAAGAAUGAUGCUGGAUAUGUUUGAUUUACAGUGACAACAUAACAUCGGUGGCAUUCCCUUCGGACACCGAGUGAUCCCAAGGCAUCAGGUACAUCCAGGAUAUCUGCAAGUACAAUUUAAAAAUUUAUUCUGUUAACCCCUAACGAUCAAUCCAGGACUUAGUUUUCUUGUCUAGUCGUCUAAGGCGGUCUAAGGGUCUAAACGUUACAAUCAGACAAAUGAGAAUACGAAUUCAUUACUUGGGAAACUGCUACGAAUUGUGAUUAUUCCCCUCGCGCUAUCGGGAGUGCGUGGAACAUCAUUCAGAGAACUACGCUAGUGCCUGAUGACAUCCAUAGGUGAUUUUCUAGAACCCUCUCAGCUAUUACUUUCCAAUAGAUUAAAGGUAGUAAUUGCAACCUUUGGCAGGGCUUGUACCAUUUUGUUCAAUUUAAACAAGGAAAGCUACUUUUAUUAAUUGAUUCAGCAGGGAACUCUGAGGCACUCUUAGUGUGUAUAUCUCACAUGUAACUGUACAUGUGGAAGUCAAGACACUCUUAGUGUAUAUCUCACAUGUAACUCUACAUGUGGAAAUCCUACAGUACAUAGUAAUAUUCCAGUAGAUAAAUGACUAGAACAUAUCUUACCUUCUUAAU